rnacentral:rRNA from 1 species
GACGAACGCUGGCGGCGUGCCUAAUACAUGCAAGUCGAACGCAGUGGGGACGGGGGAGUAACACGUGGGUAACCGGCCAUCAGAGGGGAUAACACUUGGAAACAGGUGCUAAACCGAGAAGGAUGGAUGAACAGGCGGUGCAUUAGCUAGUUGGUGAGGUAACGGCUCACCAAGGCCACGAUGCAUAGCCGACCUGAGAGGUUGAUCGGCCACACUGGGACUGAGACACGGCCCAGACUCCUACGGGAGGCAGCAGUAGGGAAUCUUCCGCAAUGGACGAAAGUCUGACCGAGCAACGCCGCGUGAGUGAAGAAGGUUUUCGGAUCGUAAAACUCUGUUGUUAGAGAAGCGGUAUCUAACCAGAAAGCCACGGCUAACUACGUGCCAGCAGCCGCGGUAAUUC